UUUUUGUCUAUAAGACCCUCCAAUUCUCUAAAACCCAUUGUCUUAUAGCAUACAAUCCUAAGGAGUAACAUUCAAGAAAUACAACAUCAAUCUCAUUCAAACUCGAGGCCUCAUCUGCUACACAUAUACCAUACUACUACCAAUUUUCAGCUUGACUUCCACAAAGUUUCUUUCUCAAACCCCGCUUGUAGAAAUGCCACGAACAGUUUGAGGAACCAGACCCAUCAACUCGACCCAAAUUGCAUCAUUCUUAUGAUCCAUUCCACUAAAAACAGAGGAAAACAUAAAAGAAACUUUUACAAAAGCAGAGCAUAAAAAUAAAGUCAUUAGGUGAAGCCCUGUUUCAUUAUUCCAUCCAUGGGCUGAAGACCAUGUGAAUACAAAGUGGUUUUAAGAGAGAAAUAGAGAAUGUAAUAAAACUUAUGAUAUGACACGAUAGAUUUGAGGCUAAGUCAGGUUGUCCUUAAAAAUGGAAUCAGAGAAAUGAGAGAUGAAGCAAUAACUAUCAAUCCAUAACAACCCAAGAAAUCAACAGAGGUAAAUAUGCAGUAUUUUAUCAUUCAUGCCUAAAAUCAACAAAUGAAUAUCUAGAAACAUCAAGAAAUGAACAAUGAAUAGGGUGAUGAGGAGAAUCAAAAGGAAAUCUGCAAAGAGACCAUACCUGAAGGUGCUCCUCUGGUCCUCCCAAAAUGGCCACCACAAAAUGAAUGUCCUUCUUAGCUCCAAUGACUAAAAGUCUCCUACUCCAAGAAACAAUGGUACGUCCCUCUAAGAAUUACUCAA
rnacentral:lncRNA from 1 species